AUGCAGUCGAGCGGACAGAAGGGAGCUUGCUCCCGGAUGUUAGCGGCGGACGGGUGAGUAACACGUGGGUAACCUGCCUGUAAGACUGGGAUAACUCCGGGAAACCGGAGCUAAUACCGGAUAGUUCCUUGAACCGCAUGGUUCAAGGAUGAAAGACGGUUUCGGCUGUCACUUACAGAUGGACCCGCGGCGCAUUAGCUAGUUGGUGGGGUAAUGGCUCACCAAGGCGACGAUGCGUAGCCGACCUGAGAGGGUGAUCGGCCACACUGGGACUGAGACACGGCCCAGACUCCUACGGGAGGCAGCAGUAGGGAAUCUUCCGCAAUGGACGAAAGUCUGACGGAGCAACGCCGCGUGAGUGAUGAAGGUUUUCGGAUCGUAAAGCUCUGUUGUUAGGGAAGAACAAGUGCGAGAGUAACUGCUCGCACCUUGACGGUACCUAACCAGAAAGCCACGGCUAACUACGUGCCAGCAGCCGCGGUAAUACGUAGGUGGCAAGCGUUGUCCGGAAUUAUUGGGCGUAAAGGGCUCGCAGGCGGUUUCUUAAGUCUGAUGUGAAAGCCCCCGGCUCAACCGGGGAGGGUCAUUGGAAACUGGGAAACUUGAGUGCAGAAGAGGAGAGUGGAAUUCCACGUGUAGCGGUGAAAUGCGUAGAGAUGUGGAGGAACACCAGUGGCGAAGGCGACUCUCUGGUCUGUAACUGACGCUGAGGAGCGAAAGCGUGGGGAGCGAACAGGAUUAGAUACCCUGGUAGUCCACGCCGUAAACGAUGAGUGCUAAGUGUUAGGGGGUUUCCGCCCCUUAGUGCUGCAGCUAACGCAUUAAGCACUCCGCCUGGGGAGUACGGUCGCAAGACUGAAACUCAAGGAAUUGACGGGGGGCCCGCACAAGCGGUGGAGCAUGUGGUUUAAUU
rnacentral:rRNA from 1 species